rnacentral:lncRNA from 1 species
AUACACUGCUGCAUUUGAUUAUUAAUGCCUUAUAAUUUGAAUGGUUAGAAAAUGUAUCCACUUUUAGAUUUUGUGAAUUCUCUCACCAGAAGAGUUGUGCUACAAAUGGAAGACUGAAAACUACCUGGCAGAAAUUAAAAAACAAGCAAACAAAUGAACAAAAGUCCAUGCAUCAGGUUCCUGAUAAGAUGAAGAGAAACCUGGUGAAGUAUCAGUCAGAGAACACAAAUGCCUGCCUCUGCCUCUGCUUCGUGUCAGGGUUCAUGAAAUCUGCACUGUGUGGAACCCGGGCCCCACCUUCCUGGAGGUUGUGAGGACGCACGGAAUGAGAUGAGAACUGAAGAGGCGUAGAGCAGCCCGGGGUGCAGGUGCGCUCGGUACCAAGCGGUCUUCAUUCCUCCUGUUGCCGCCAGAGGGCUCAGAAAAAAAGUAAGUCCAAUUUCUCUGGCUUUUUUUUUUUUUUUUUUUUUUUUUUGCUAUUG